rnacentral:rRNA from 1 species
UACGUAGGUCCCGAGCGUUGUCCGGAUUUAUUGGGCGUAAAGCGAACGCAGGUGGUUUAUUAAGUCUGGUGUAAAAGGCAGUGGCUCAACCAUUGUAUGCAUUGGAAACUGGUAGACUUGAGUGCAGGAGAGGAGAGUGGAAUUCCAUGUGUAGCGGUGAAAUGCGUAGAUAUAUGGAGGAACACCGGUAGCGAAAGCGGCUCUCUGGCCUGUAACUGACACUGAGGCUCGAAAGCGUGGGGAGCAAACAGG